GCCGCAGACCGCGGCGAUAGCUCAGUGGGUAAAGCUUUUAUCCGCGCGGGUUCGAAUCCCGCCUGUGGCA